rnacentral:rRNA from 1 species
UACGUAGGGUGCUAGCGUUGUCCGGAAUCAUUGGGCGUAAAGCGCGCGUAGGCGGCCCGGUAAGUCCGCUGUAAAAGUCAAAGGCUCAACCUUUGAAUGUCAGUGGAUACUGCCGGGCUAGAGGAUGGUAGAGGCGAGUGGAAUUCCCGGUGUAGCGGUGAAAUGCGCAGAUAUCGGGAGGAACACCAGUAGCGAAGGCGGCUCGCUGGGCCAUUCCUGACGCUGAGACGCGAAAGCUAGGGGAGCGAACAGG